AGUGAACGCUGGCGGCAGGCCUAAUACAUGCAAGUCGAACGGCAGCACAGUGGAGCUUGCUCCAUGGGUGGCGAGUGGCGGACGGGUGAGGAAUACAUGGGAAUCUGCCCAGUCGUGGGGGAUAACGUAUGGAAACGUACGCUAAUACCGCAUGCGCCCUUCGGGGGAAAGUCGGGGACCGCAAGGCCUGACGCGAUUGGAUGAGCCCAUGUUCGAUUAGCUAGUUGGCGGGGUAACGGCCCACCAAGGCGACGAUCGAUAGCUGGUCUGAGAGGAUGAUCAGCCACACUGGAACUGAGACACGGUCCAGACUCCUACGGGAGGCAGCAGUAGGGAAUAUUGGACAAUGGGGGGAACCCUGAUCCAGCCAUGCCGCGUGAGGGAAGAAGGUCCUCUGGAUUGUAAACCUCUUUUGGCAGGAAACAAACCUGCGCUAUACGCGCAGCUGAGGGUACCUGCAGAAUAAGCACCGGCUAACUCCGUGCCAG
rnacentral:rRNA from 1 species